rnacentral:rRNA from 1 species
GUGAGGAAUUUUGCGCAAUGGGGGAAACCCUGACGCAGCAACGCCGCGUGAGUGAUGAAGGCCUUCGGGUCGUAAAGCUCUGUCAAGUGGGAAGAACCUACUUAUGGCUAAUAUCCAUAGGUAUUGACGGUACCACUGAAGGAAGCACCGGCUAACUCCGUGCCAGCAGCCGCGGUAAUACGGAGGGUGCAAGCGUUAUUCGGAUUUACUGGGCGUAAAGCGCGCGCAGGCGGUUUUGUAAGUCGGAUGUGAAAGCCCGGGGCUUAACCCCGGAAGUGCAUUCGAUACUGCAUAACUUGAGUAUGGGAGAGGGAAGUGGAAUUCCUGGUGUAGAGGUGAAAUUCGUAGAUAUCAGGAGGAACAUCGGUGGCGAAGGCGGCUUCCUGGACCAAUACUGACGCUGAGGCGCGAAGGCGUGGGGAGCAAACAGGAUUAGAAACCCUUGUAGUCC